AUUGAACGCUGGCGGCAGGCCUAACACAUGCAAGUCGAGCGGUAGAGCGAAGCUUGCUUCUCUUGAGAGCGGCCGACGGGUGAGUAAUUCCUAGGAAUCUGCCCGGUAGUGGGGGAUAACGUUCGGUAACGGACGCUAAUACCGCAUACGUUCUACGGGAGAAAGCCGGGUUCCUUCUGUCCUUGCGCUAUCAGAUUCGCCUAGGUCGGAUUAGCUAGUUGGUGGGGUAAUGGAUCACCAAGGCGACGAUCCGUAACUGGUCUGAGAGGAUGAUCAGUCAAACUGGAACUGAGACACGGUCCAGACUCCUACGGGAGGCAGCAGUGGGGAAUAUUGGACAAUGGGCGAAAGCCUGAUCCAGCCAUGCCGCGUGGGUGAAGAAGGUCUUCGGAUGGUAAAGCACUUUAAGUUGGGAGGAAGGGCAGUAAAUUAAUACGUUGCUGUUUUGACGUUACCGACAGAAUAAGCACCGGCUAACUCUGUG
rnacentral:rRNA from 1 species